GUACUUCCCGGUGUAGCCUUCUGGCUUUGCUUAUGAUGGGUUCAUUUGGCUUCUCUGAGUCAUGUUGCUUCUCUGGACAAGUGAGGUGUUUGCUGUCAGUGAAGUGGGCUGAAUCAACAAGGUGUCAUUCUCUAAAAGCCAGAAAUUGGUUCCUCUUUUGCAUCCUGCCUAUGAAAAUAGGCCGAAGCAAACAGCAAACGCAAAGGUUUAAUUUAUAAAUUGUGUGUAUGUGACUAAAGGCUUAAUUAUCUCUUAAUCAGCCUUCUCUGAUUAGAGUGGAGAUCAAUGGGAAGCAAUAGGAAAAAGAGAAAUUUGGAUUAGGUAACUGCCAUUACCUCAAGACCCAGGACGCUUACAUGUGAAGACUUUUAAAAGCUGGCAUUGAAUUUCCUUUAAUGAAGAGGAAUUGUCCUUGUUUGUAAAACAAUAAAACUUGAGAAGAUAUUCUUCAGUAUAACAUGAAAAGUUAAUGGCAUGGGUACUGAGAAAAUGGAAAAGAGAGAGAGAGCCAGUAUUCUCUGUGAAAGCGAUGAACAGAUAUUAGGUAAAGAAUGGUGAAAAGAGUGAGAGCGAAGAGAGCAGGAAGGAGAAGACAAAUGGCCAAGUAACAUGACAGACAUCCUUGGACGAAAAUGGACAGUAAGAAACUACUGAAGUUUGGUUCUGUAAUUGGCGUUCUGGAGCAUACCCUUAUAUAUUCAACACAUAUCUGUGAAGUGUCAGCCUCAUGCCAGGUCCUGUUCUCAGAACUGGAAAUGUAAGAAACAAGGUGACUCCUUCAGAUCAGGAUGCAGCAACAUUCUCAAGGAAGAGGAAACCAUCUUUAUACCACAAAGGUCUAAAGUCUGAUUCCACCGACAAGGGAGGUUCCCUGGGUGGUUGGAGUUUCAGGAUACGCGCAGAACUUCAAAUCCUCCCGUAUAUCUCCAUUUCAGUUCCCCAGUGCUCAUUUGAUACUGACCAAUGUGCUGUACGAUGCAAUGUAUGGGUAAGAAUAUGGGCUGCGGAAUCAAUUGUUUUCAUCCCAGCUCCGCUCCUGCCAGCUAUUUGACCUAUGAAAAUUCACUUAACCUCUCUGUACUUUGGUUUCUUAAUCCGUGAAAUAGAGAAGACAAUAAUACUUAAAAGGAUGCUUCUGAAUAUUAAAUAUGAUAAUACAAAUAUAGCACUUAGAACAGUGCCUUGAACAUAGCAUUUUCUAAGUGCUAGCCAUGCCUAUCAUUAUGAGGCUUGACAAGGCUGAGAAUUCAACUGAUAUUACAGUUGGACAACUCACAGCAUAAAUCUUUGGCCACUUUAGCCCUGCAGCUGCUUGAGCUAAGGAAUCAUUUUGAAUGGUUUUAGAAAGUCCCUGGGUUUCUAAAUGUCCUUGAUUUGAGCCAAGAAUUUAGGUUUUUAAACUUUUUAAUGAGUUAAUUUUUCUUCUUUAAAUUCUAUUUCAUGAUAGAAUAAGGUUGAUUUUUUUCACUAUAGGAGUAAUACAAUGUAUUAUAAAAAAAAUCACCACUGCAGAUACAUGUAAAGAAAAAAGUUAAAAUAAAAUGAAAGCUCUUUACCCUGAGAUGACAUUAACGUUUUGGUGAAUAUUCUUCUAUGCAUCUCUGUAUACAUCCCUGAAGUUCUGUGGGCCUGCGUUUUCACAGGAGCCCCAAGAACUCCAUGCUCCAGGACUCUCAACUCCAGUUCUCAAAGUUCUCUGGUACAAGAAGAACUAAAUCUUGCACUCAUUUCGUCCAUCAAGAUCUUGGAGGAGCAGAGGCUGUGUUUGUACCCUGCCAGCUCUUGAAUCUCCCCUGGUUAGAAAAGGAAAAUGGCAGUUGACUUGGAUUUGAGAAGCAGGCUGUCGACACAGAUUGAUGCCUAUUCUUUUUAAUAAAGUGUCUAGUGACAAUAAAUUAGCGCUUCUCACAUCCAUUCAUUAUGUACUUCAUGCACUGUAUGUGCUAGGCAAUAUGAUCCCCUAAAUCUUUACCCCAGAAGGUAUUUUAUCCUAGGAGACCAUAGGCAAUACAGAUUUUCCUCCUUAUAAUGACUGCUUAUUCAUCUAUCUUUUUGUCAUACCAUCUCUCGAAAAGUUUACUUCUUUGCAAAUGACUCUUUUCUUUACAAGUGUAAUGACAUUUUUUUUGUGCUUCAAAAUGUGCUAAAGAUAAAUAUUACAAGAAGUAAUAGUUCAGCAUUAUAUUUUCAGGCAAAGACAUACUCAUCAGUAGACUUGACAAAACAGUUUAUAGUCUAAGAAUAUUCUAUAGAGUUGUGUUUAGAUGAAAGCAAAAUUGUGCUCUGCAUACACAAACCAAGCGAAAAGAGAUGAUUCUUGAGUCUGUUUAGUGCAUGCACCGUUCCUGCAUUUUAAAAUACUCUUGUGUUUUGCUCUUAAAGUGGUUUCAAGAACAUUAGUUUUAAGUAUAGUUUUAGGUUGAAAAUUGGUGAAUAAAAUGAUGUAAAAAGAAGUGUGCCUCCAAGAAUGACUGCCUUGCACUCUUCCUCCACUAGCUGCCAUCUAUGUUCCAGUUUCCUCUUCCUCUUUUAGUGAGGACGUUAAACCUUCACUGCACUAAAUUUUAUAUGUAAACUCUUUAUUUUCAACUGUUGUUAUUAAUUACGUAGACUUGUUUUCAUUGUUCAAUUUAUAUAUUUUUCUAACAACUGAAAAUUGUUUGGAUAUUUUGGUUUGGGAUGAAACGAAUCAUAAUUUGUUCCAUCAAAAUUAAUAUAAUUUUCAAAAAAUUUCAUGGCUUUUCUUUGAGCAGCAAAGUUUUCAAGAAUGAAUUAAAGUUAUUGGGAAAGA
ensembl:lncRNA